rnacentral:rRNA from 1 species
UGAAUACGAGAUGCUACGGCGUCGAAGCAGUCUAUGUCAUACUUCCAAGAAAAGCUUGCACUGUCAUAAACAAAUAAUGCCUGUACCAUAACCGACACAGGUGGGUAGGUAGAGUAUACUAAGGGGCGCGAGAUAACUCUCUCUAAGGAACUCGGCAAAAUGACUCCGUGACUUCGGGAGAAGGAGUGCCUUAUUUAUAAGGUUGCAAUAACAAGAUCCAAGCAACUGUUUACCAAAAACACAGGUCUCCGCUAAGUCGUAAGACGAUGUAUGGGGGCUGACGCCUGCCCAGUGCCAGAAGGUUAAAGAAGUUGGUUAGCAUCCGCGAAGCUGAUAACUGAAGCCCUGGUGAACGGCGGCCGUAACAAUAACGGUCCUAAGGUAGCGAAAUUCCUUGUCGGGUAAGUUCCGACCCGCACGAAAGGCGUAAUGAUUUGGAUACUGUCUCGGAGAGGGGCUCGGUGAAAUAGACUUGUCUGUGAAAAUGCGGACUACCUGCACCAGGACAGAAAGACCCUAUGAAGCUUUACUGUAACCUGAAAUUGAAAUUGGACUUUACUUGCGCAGUAUAGGUGGGAGGCGUUGAGAAUAUUCUUGCGGGAUUAUUGGAGCCAUCAGUGAGAUACCACUCUUGUAAUGUUAGAUUUCUAACUUUGUAUCAUUAUCUGGUCAAAGAACAGUUUCAGGCGGGCAGUUUGACUGGGGCGGUCGCCUCCUAAACGGUAACGGAGGCGCACAAAGGUUUCCUCUGAACGGGUAGAAAUCGUAUCUAGAGUGUAAAGGCAUAAGGAAGCUUGACUGUGAGACCUACAAGUCGAGCAGGGACGAAAGUCGGUCUUAGUGAUCUGACGGUGCUGAGUGGAAAGGCCGUCACUCAACGGAUAAAAGUUACUCUAGGAUAACAGGCUGAUCUCCCCCAAGAGUUCACAUCGACGGGGAGGUUUGGCACCUCGAUGUCGGCUCAUCGCAUCCUGGGGCGGUAGUACGUCCCAAGGGUUGGGCUGUUCGCCCAUGAAAGCGGUACGCGAGCUGGGUUCAGAACGUCGUGAGACAGUUCGGUCCAUAUCCGGUGUAGGCGUUAGAAUAUUGAGAGGAGCCUUCUUUAGUACGAGAGGACCGAGAAGGACAUACCUCUGGUGUACCAGUUAUCGUGCCAACGGUAAACGCUGGGUAGCUAUGUGUGGAGUGGAUAACCGCUGAAAGCAUCUAAGUGGGAAGCCCACCUCAAGAUAAGUAUUCUC